AACUUUACAGUUCUUAAGUGUGGCAAUUAAGUUCUCACAUGCCUGUGUGACAUGUGCCUCCCUCAAACUUUGUUACAACACAGGCAUGUUACCCAUCUGAUG